UACAAAUCAUACCUGAAUUCACAAGUUAAUGACAUUCCAAGAACUACAGCUUAUCGCAUUAAAAAGCUGGGUACACAGCAUAAAGAGGUAAUGUUUUUUCAAUUACACUAUUAUUAAGUUAAAUGUAUUUUCCUGAAUUGUUUUGUAUCAAGAUCUGCCAAAAAUGUUAUAUAUUAUUUUACCUGCUGUAUAAGAAUUACAGCAUGCUUGUAUUGUCUGUGACAUACAGGGUGUGAAACAUCUUUUUUUCUUUCUUUACAGAACAUACAUCCACAUGGUUACAAAAACUAUGUGUGCUUUAAUGGUUCUGAAUUACCAAAAACAACUGAAUACAGGAGAAGGAAAACACUGUUCUCCAUUAAUUUGAAUAACAAUGAGGCCACCAAGGAAAAUGAUAGUGUCCACUAUACUCAGUGUCCAAUACCAGCAAAGAGAUACAAAAUGGAUAACCAAGUGCAGAAAGUGGUUGAGUGGAGUGUUAAUGAUGAGAAUUAUGAUGAAAGAAGGCUGUCUUUUGAGGAAAACCUGUGCCAGUCUCCUGAGAGGCAUAAUGAAGAAGCAAACGUACAUCAG